AUGAAAAUCUCUCAAUUCUCUCUCACUCCCUCCCUAGCCGAGCCCUCCCUUCACCCUCUCAUUUCUUUGCUUUUCUUUUUCUUAACUCACACAAACACUCAAACCCUUCUUCAUUUUCUAAGGAAAAUGCCUAGGUAGUUCUCUAAGUUGAAGAAAAAGUCAAAGCUCUAAAAGCUUCUAAGAAAGAAAGAUCUAAGGGAGAGAAACAAAGAGGAUAAAGUCUAGAGCCACCAAAACUCAAGGAGGAUCUUCAAAGAGUGGGCUAACAAAGUGGAACUCUUUAAAAGAAGAUUUGUCACGUGCAGCUAAGGACGUUUGGUAAGGGCAAGAAAAGCUGAACUAGUGAGAUGUCGAAGCCUACCUCUAAAAGUAUAUAUGUGGCCUGACCUAUGGGUGUUUGCACUUUCAAAAGAGAGUCUCUUGCUUAUGUUUUUAAACUAUGUUGGAUUAUCACCAUACUUUCUAAUGAUUUUAAUGUUUAUUGUAAAUUUUUUUAGUGUGUGCACACAUUACCUUAAAAGUUUUUUUUUAAUCUGAAUUUUUUUAGACA